rnacentral:tmRNA from 1 species
UGCCGGGCAUGGAGUGCCUUCGGACGCGGGUUCAAUUCCCGCCACCUCCACCA